rnacentral:tRNA from 1 species
GGAGCUGUGGCUCAGUGGCAGAGCGCUCGCCUAGCAUGUGUGAGGCACUGGGUUUGAUCCUCAGCACCA